rnacentral:rRNA from 1 species
GACGAACGCUGGCGGCGUGCUUAACACAUGCAAGUCGAACGGAAAGGCCCUGCUUUUGUGGGGUGCUCGAGUGGCGAACGGGUGAGUAACACGUGAGUAACCUGCCCUUGACUUUGGGAUAACUUCAGGAAACUGGGGCUAAUACCGGAUAGGAGCUCCUGCUGCAUGGUGGGGGUUGGAAAGUUUCGGCGGUUGGGGAUGGACUCGCGGCUUAUCAGCUUGUUGGUGGGGUAGUGGCUUACCAAGGCUUUGACGGGUAGCCGGCCUGAGAGGGUGACCGGCCACAUUGGGACUGAGAUACGGCCCAGACUCCUACGGGAGGCAGCAGUGGGGAAUAUUGCACAAUGGGCGGAAGCCUGAUGCAGCAACGCCGCGUGCGGGAUGACGGCCUUCGGGUUGUAACCCGCUUUCGCCUGUGACGAAGCGUGAGUGACGGUAAUGGGUGAAGAAGCACCGGCUAACUACGUG